CACACCUGCCAUAGAUAUAGCUGCAUGGACUUCAGCUCUUUGCAACCUGUGUUCCUCUUUCCGCCUUUCUUUAAUCUCCUUCAGCCACUUCUUGAUCGACAUGUUCUUGAAUGGCACUAUCUUCCAUGACAGCUGCAAUGUUUGGCCAUUUGACGUGGGAGUGGAAGAAGGGGAUUCGGAGCUACUUGCAUCCUUUGCUCUUUGCUUUCCUUUACAAAGUGCUUGCCUUGUAAGAGUGUACGUAAUGGACUAGAAUCGAAUUCAAAGAAGAUACAAAGAGGAUUCGAAGCUGAAAAUCUGUUAGAGAAAGCAUAGAGGAUGAACCUGGCUUCACAUUCUCUUUCUUGCUGGACUAGAAUCGAUUUCAAAGAAGAGAGAAAGAGAUACUUAGAAAAAAAAAAUUAAGGCAUGAAAGGACGAAAAUAUCCCUAAAAUAUUGCCAGCUGGCAGACGCCGUAACGGACCCAACGGCUCUAGAUACCAAUCUUCUGUCGGGCUGAGAACCUCAGAUACUGUAUUGAUAUUUUUUUAAGUUCAGGUACUAAAAGUUAUAACGAGGAAAAAUACGGGUAUUGUACGGACCAUUUUCCCUUUAAUAUCCGUAUGUGAGUUACUAGA